GAUGAACGCUAGCGGCAGGCUUAAUACAUGCAAGUCGAGGGGCAGCAGCUUUAUAGCAAUAUAGAGGCUGGCGACCGGCAAACGGGUGCGGAACACGUACACAACCUUCCUUGAAUAGGGGGAUAGCCCAUAGAAAUGUGGAUUAAUACCCCGUAAUAUAGCGGUGUGGCAUCACACUGUUAUUACAGUUUCGACGAUUCGAGAUGGGUGUGCGGCUGAUUAGGUAGUUGGCGGGGUAAAGGCCCACCAGGCCUUCGAUCAGUAGCUGAUGUGAGAGCAUGAUCAGCCACACGGGCACUGAGACACGGGCCCGACUCCUACGGGAGGCAGCAGUAAGGAAUAUUGGUCAAUGGACGCAAGUCUGAACCAGCCAUGCCGCGUGAAGGAUGAAGGUCCUCUGGAUUGUAAACUUCUUUUAUAGGGGGCGAAAAAAGGUCUUUCUAGAUCACUUGACAGUACCCUAUGAAUAAGCACCGGCUAACUCC
rnacentral:rRNA from 1 species